rnacentral:rRNA from 1 species
UACGAAGGGGGCUAGCGUUGCUCGGAAUCACUGGGCGUAAAGGGUGCGUAGGCGGGUCUUUAAGUCAGGGGUGAAAUCCUGGAGCUCAACUCCAGAACUGCCUUUGAUACUGAAGAUCUUGAGUUCGGGAGAGGUGGGUGGAACUGCGAGUGUAGAGGUGAAAUUCGUAGAUAUUCGCAAGAACACCAGUGGCGAAGGCGGCUCACUGGCCCGGUACUGACGCUGAGGUGCGAAAGCGUGGGGAGCAAACAGG